rnacentral:tRNA from 1 species
GGUGCAGCUCAGUGGUAGAGCUCUUGCCUAGCAUGCAUGAGGCCUGGGGUUCCACCCCCAGCGCCA